GGGACCCGGGCAAGCGCCCCUCACCAGCAUGUUCUCAUCCCCUUUUCCUUCUCUGGCCGCCCCGCAGCCACAGACAUCAGUGCCUGGGCUGGUGGGGACCCUGGAACUCCUCUAAUUCAGAUGGGGAACUUGAGACCCAGGCAGAAACCUCCUCAUUGUCCACUUCCAAGCAGGCAGCACAACUGGCAGAGCUGGCCCUGGCCCAUCCCACCUUCUAGCUGCGCCAUCCUCUCCACCCCCUCCACCUGUU